ACCAACUCCUUUCCCCUUCCUUACUCUUAAUACUGACGGUAGUGCAAAAGGCAAUACGGGCCAUGCUGGAGCAGGCGGAAUUAUAAGAGAUCACUAGGGGAAUUGGAUAGGAGGAUUCUCAAUUAACAUAGGUGUCACCCAUAGUAUGAUGGCAGAGCUGUGGGCUAUUCGAGAAGGUUUAAAAUUUGCUUGGAGUAAUGGAUACAAAUAUAUCAACCUUCAGGUCUCUCCUGGAGCGACCUUGGGUGGUCAAAACUGAUCACAUUUGGAGGGAAGCUAAUGGGUGUGCUGACCUGUUGGCAAAGAAAGGAGCAGAGCAAUCUGAGCGUGAAAUUUUCUAUCACACCUGUCUUGCGUUUUUGAUGCAAUGCUAUUUUUGGGACUCACUGGGAUUCACCUCGCCUCGCUCAGUGGGUUGUAUAUACCAAGGAAGCUGAAAUCUGGCUAUCGGAAGUCCCUGUGUGUGUGUGUGUGUUAGGUCCUUCUCUGUUGUUGUGUUUGUCUUGUUUCAGUGAUGUGUCUGUGGUAGUGUAUGUUAAGUCUUGAUAUGUAUUAUAUAGUUUGAAGUGUCUGUAGUUCGUAUCUUUUUCUCAUCUCUGUACUGUUCCCUUAGUGUUUGCAAUAAAAUCCUUUU